AAUCUUCCGCAAGGGACGUAAGUCUGACGGAGCAUCGCCUCGUGAUAGAUGAUGGUUAACUGAUCGUAAAACUCUGUUGUUAGGGAAGAACAAGUACCGGAGUCACUGCCGGUACCUUGACUGUACCUGCCGAGAAAGCCACGGCGAACUACGUGCCAGCAGCCGCGGUAAUACGUAGGGUGCCAGCGUGGUCCGGAUUUAUUGGGCCUAAAGCGCGCGCAGGCGGUCUUUUAAGUCUGAUGUGAAAUCUUACAGCUUAACUGUAAGCGGUCAUUGGAAACUGGGAGAAUUGAGUGCAGAAGAGGAGAGUGGAAUUCCAUGUGUAGCGGUGAAAUGCGUAGAGAUAUGGAGGAACACCAGUGGCGAAGGCGACUCUCUGGUCUGUAACUGACGCUGAGGCGCGAAAGCGUGGGGAUCAAACA
rnacentral:rRNA from 1 species